rnacentral:rRNA from 1 species
AUUGAACGCUGGCGGCAGGCCUAACACAUGCAAGUCGAGCGGAUGAAGCGGGCUUGCUCCUGGAUUCAGCGGCGGACGGGUGGGUAAUGCCUAUUAAUCUGCCUCGUCGUAGGGGAAAACGUCCUGAUACCGGCGCUAAUACCCCAGGCGUCCUUUGGGAGAAAGUGGGGGAUCUUCGGACCUCUCGCUAUCUGAUGAGCCUAGGUGGGAUUAGCUAGUUGGUGGGGUAACUGCCUACAAAGGCGACGAUCCGUAACUGGUCUGAGAGGAUGAUCAGGCACACUGGAACUGAGACACGGUCCAGACUCCUACGGGAGGACGCAGUGGGGAAUCUUGCGCGAUGGGCGAAAGCCUGAUCCAGCCAUGCCGCGUGAAGGAUGAAGGUCUUCGGAUGGGAAAACACUGUAAGUCGGGAGGAAGGAAAGUAAGUUAAUCGGUGACUGUAUUGACGGUACCAACAGAAGAAGCACCGGCUAACUUCGUG